rnacentral:rRNA from 1 species
UACGUAGGGUGCAAGCGUUGUCCGGAAUUAUUGGGCGUAAAGAGCUCGUAGGCGGUCUGUCGCGUCGGCUGUGAAAACUCGGGGCUCAACUCCGAGCUUGCGGUCGAUACGGGCAGGCUAGAGUUCGGUAGGGGAGACUGGAAUUCCUGGUGUAGCGGUGAAAUGCGCAGAUAUCAGGAGGAACACCGGUGGCGAAGGCGGUUCUCUGGGCCUUACCUGACGCUGAGGAGCGAAAGUGUGGGGAGCGAACAGG